GACGAACGCUGGCGGCGUGGAUUAGGCAUGCAAGUCGAACGGUAUCAUCCUUUCGGGGGUGAGAGAGUGGCGAACUGGUGAGUAACACGUAGGUUAUCUACCCUCAAGACGGGGACAACCCAGGGAAACUUGGGCUAAUACCGGAUGUGAGCAACUUUUAGUUGUUUGAAAGGUGGCGUAAGCUGUCGCUUGGGGAUGAGCCUGCGUCCUAUUAGUUAGUUGGUGAGGUAACGGCUCACCUAGGCAAUGAUAGGUAGGCGGCCUUAACGGGUGGUCGCCCACACUGGGAUUGAGAUACGGCCCAGACUCCUACGGGAGGCAGCAGUCGAGAAUAGUCUACAAUGGUCGGAAGACUGAUAGUGCGACGCCGCGUGAACGAUGAAUCCCUUCGGGUGUAAAGUUCUUUUAUAUGUGAGCAGUGCUUCUUAUAUUAACAGUAUGGGGAGAGAGAUAUUAGCAUAUGAAUAAGCAACGGCUAACUCCGUGCCAGCAGCCGCGGUAAUA
rnacentral:rRNA from 1 species